UACGUAGGUGGCAAGCGUUGUCCGGAUUUACUGGGCGUAAAGAGCGCGCAGGCGGUCGUUCAAGUCGCGUGUGAAAGCCCCCGGCUCAACUGGGGAGGGUCACGCGAUACUGAUCAACUCGAAGGCAGGAGAGGGUAGUGGAAUUCCCGGUGUAGUGGUGAAAUGCGUAGAUAUCAGGAGGAACACCCGUGGCGAAGGCGGUUCUCUGGGACGGUACUGACGCUGAGACGCGAAAGCUAGGGGAGCGAACAGG
rnacentral:rRNA from 1 species